CCUACGGGGGGCUGCAGUGAGGAAUAUUGGUCAAUGGACGAGAGUCUGAACCAGCCAAGUAGCGUGAAGGAUGACUGCCCUAUGGGUUGUAAACUUCUUUUAUAUGGGAAUAAAAUGUUCCACGUGUGGGAUUUUGUAUGUACCAUAUGAAUAAGGAUCGGCUAACUCCGUGCCAGCAGCCGCGUUAAUACGGAGGAUCCGAGCGUUAUCCGGGUUUAUUGGGUUUAAAGGGAGCGUAGGUGGAUUGUUAAGUCAGUUGUGAAAGUUUGCGGCUCAACCGUCACAUUGCAGUUGAAACUGGCAGUCUUGAGUACAGUAGAGGUGAGCGGAAUUCGUGGUGUAGCGGUGAAAUGCUUAGAUAUCACGAAGAACUCCGAUUGCGAAGGCAGUUCACUGGACUGCAACUGACACUGAGGCUCGAAAGUGUGGGUAUCAAACAGGAGUAGAUACCCGGGUAGUC
rnacentral:rRNA from 1 species